GUGGAAACUUCAGGCUGUGCCCUGGACCUCCUAGCGGAAUGCAUUCAUUCUCCCUCUGCCCUUGAGAUUAGUUCAGAGGGAAAGUUUGAGGAGCACUGAACCAAUGGAAUCAUUUGAAAUGUGACACUCGUAAUUGACUUGGUUUCAAAUCCUUAGCAGUUGGAGUAUUUUGGCUUAUCUCUAAUGCUAGAAAUACUGUAGCAUUUGUCACUUCAAUCCCAGCCAAGGGUCAAAUGCAGUAUCACAAACAGAAGCUAAAAUAAAUUCUCAAAGUCGUUUUUGUGGUUGACUUAACUUUAUUCACACAGUAGCUAUAGGAGCUGACAAAGACUUGGUCUAACAUUUCUUUCUUCUGGCAGGUUGAUUUAGAGUUUGGUUGCAGACAGUGUGGGUUGAAGGGACGUGUGGUAAGACAGAUCAGAGGCUUGUUACAAUUCUACAUCACCGGGAAUCCAGUUUAAUUUUAACCUUGUGGCUUGUCUAACAUGUUUGCAGUAAGAGUUGGGGGAAUAAAUCUAAUGCUCGCAGGCAAACGCUUGGGAGCCCUUGAGAGCAGCAUCCUUAGAGAACACACAAUCGAUCCUAGCACUGGAGGCACCUCAGAUAUUGUGAGUGCAGGUCAGAAGUGUCUUGGGGUGCCAGGAAAGGCAUCCCAUGACAGCGGUGAGGUCUCAGGGCAUACAGCAGGCAGAGGUGAUCAGGAACAGACUUCUGGGGUACUGGCAAUGAUCUGUUUCUUGACCUGGGUGAUAGUUAUACAGAUGUUGCCUUAUAAUUAUUGUUCAAACUGUAUGCUUUAUGCAUCCUUCACAUUUUCUUCCGUAGUCUCUGAAUUGACAGGCUACCCAUCAUCACACUUCUUUAUUUCCUACAGUUUACCUCUUACUAUUUCUUGCACUUUGAUAGUGAACUUAAAUGUGUUGUUUUAUAUAUUUUUAAAUGAAUAAAACACAAAGAGUUAAAGUUAGAAUUUCUAAUAAAUCCAAUUCAAUCAACAUAUAUACUAGCUGUAAGGGGCGAACUUUACUUUCACACACAUUUAUACCAAAGUUAGGCAGAAAUUCAGACCAGCAAACAUCCAUUUUUCUGCCAUUAAUCCACAAAGACAAUUUUGAUGGCAUUUUAAAUCUUCCCCACAGUCAAGAUCACACCAUAUGAUCCGAAGUGAUUGCCAUAUGGAUGAAAUAAAAUCAAAAAAAGCUCUGAAUAAAUUGGUUAACAUUGACUUUCUUUGAAUGGAGACUUUGAGUAGAUGGAAAACAGACUUUCCUCUCUGAUAUGAAAAAAACAUUUAAGUAGGAAGGGAGAAAAAUACAUCACAUGAGGUGGAAAAAAGGAAAAUAAGAAUCAACAGUAUUCACUCUACAUCUUAAGAAAUAUUGUGUACAAUAGGCAUUGUCCAUUUCAUUAAGAAAUGUAAAUAUUCCUCUGCCUUUCUCGUUUUCAACUUGCAUGCACGCGCACAUACACACACACACUGUAUGCUAUGCACGAAAAUCCUGCCGUUACCUGAAGAGGGUCAAGGACACACCUGGCUGCAGCAGGCUUCUCCUCUCUCUCCAACUUGGGCUCCAACUCGGGCUCCAACUCCUGCUCCUCUCCCGGGCUGUCUGGACUCUGGGGCUCUGGGCAGGGCCUAAAGUAGUCCAAGGGAGGUGGCAAUCACUGUGAUGUCACUGAUGAAACAUCUCAAAGGAACAACCUCCAAAGGUUUGAGGCUAUUUGUGUUUAGGUGGACAUGGAAAUAUGUUGGCCAAGACUCCGUUCCUUUGGCUGCCAAUUUGUAUUAACACACCUGGGACUUAAAAUCUUCUCCUUCCAGUUGACUUUUGGUGCAAUUGAUGUGGGUUUUAAAUUUAUCUUUUACAUCUUCAUGAAUAUCUCUAACAUGUGUUUAAAACAUCAUAAACCAAGAGUGAUAGACUAAUGUUAAGAAAUAAAUGCUGCAUUUGGCUGUGAGACUGCAUUUACACCCUUAGCAUGUGAGGGUGUAAAAAUGUGACUUCAUUGUGCCACAUAUCUUUAACUAUUUGAAAUAUAGACAGUGCUCUGCUUUG
ensembl:lncRNA